AGAGAGAGACAUGCGCGCAUAUCAAUAAGCGGAGGAAAAGAAACUAACUAGGAUUCCCUCAGUAGCGGCGAGUGAAGCGGGAAGAGCUCAAAUUUGAAAUCUUCAAGGUUCUACCUUGACGAAUUGUAGUUUAAAGAAGUGUUUUCUGUUGAAGUUUUGGUAAAAGUUCUUUGGAAUAGGACAUCAUAGAGGGUGAGAAUCCCGUAUUUGACCAUUAUUUUCAGCUGUGUGAUACACUUUCAAAGAGUCGGAUUGUUUGGGAAUGCAGUCCAAAAUGGGUGGUAAAUUUCAUCUAAAGCUAAAUACUGGCGAGAGACCGAUAGCGAACAAGUACCGUGAGGGAAAGAUGAAAAGAACUUUGAAAAGAGAGUUAAACAGUACGUGAAAUUGUCAAAAGGGAAGCGUUUGACACCAGUGUUGUUUUCUCGAAAAUCAAUUAAAAAAGGCAGGAUUUUGUGUUGUAUUGACUUUAUCAGCUUUCUGCACUCUUUUCUUGUCUUUUUUAAUGCACUUUUCGUUUAACAAGUCAACAUCAAUUUCUUUUGUUGUAAAAGGGUCAUUGGAAGGUGGCUUUCUUUUCGGAGAAAGUGUUUAUAGCCUUUGGCCUCUGCAAUCGGAGAGAUUGAGGUCUGCAGCGUAGAUCCUUCGGGGUUAGAUACAUUUGUGCUAAGUUAUAGCCUUUCAUAGACAACUUGUUGACUAUGAUCAGUCAUGUAGCUUACUCGCUUAUGCUAUUUUACCUACGCUUAGGAUGUUGAUGUGAUACUGCGAGCA
rnacentral:rRNA from 1 species